GCCGGGCGCAGUGGUGCAUGCCUGUAAUCCCGGUGGCUUGGGAGGCUGAGGCAGGAGGAUCACAAGUUGGAGGCCAGCCUCAAUAACUUGGCAAGACUUUGUCUCAA
rnacentral:sRNA from 1 species